AAGGGAGUCGCAGCUGUGAAGUCAGUCUGUGUGUGCAGUCAGAGCCUGUUGUUGGAGCCUGCAGUCACAGUCUAGCUGGGUGAAAGCCUGCACUCAGAGUCUGCAAACUGAUACCUGCAGUCAGAGUUCAGCAGGAAAUAACCAGCAGUCAGAGGGUGCAAGGGAAACCUACAGCAGGAGCUUGCUGCAGCCAGGGUCAGUGAAUGGUUGGAGUCAGGAUGGCUGAGCUGUAAGGAGGAAUAAACGAGGAUCCUCUUCACUUUGUGAUAAACAAGGAGUCUGUGUCUUGGCUAACCUUCUAACAAGAGGGCUGCUGCUACAGGGCCCUUCAUUCAGAAUUGUGUUCCAGUGACUGAUUUUAACACUCAGGGCAUAAGACUCCCGUUUCUCUAGUGGUGGUCGGCUGCAGCUGGAAUAUUCUUCAACCCUGACAGAAAGAUUUCUGACCUUGAAUCAGUGAUUCUGGCUGCAAGUAAAACCUGAAUGAAUUGAUUGGACCAGAGAACAAUUGACAGCUGUAGCACAAAUCUGAGUCUGAUGAACAUUGAAUCUCUUAUGAUUGAGACCUCAGGCUGCAAAAAAUCAGACAGUCCAUCAGAAAUCUCAUACUUUUUCCUGGCAGUGGAUUUCUGGGAAUAAAGUCAGAAGAUUUUUAGAAAACAUAUGAAGAGAAACUAAAUUCUGUAAUGAAGUAAUGGAUAGGGUAGUAAGGGGAUAAAUUCUUGGGUAUUUGAUUUCUUAUAGGAAAAAUUCUAGUUUCUAAGAAAGAAUUUUGAAAUAGUCAGGAAUAUGAGAGAAUGUGCAAACUCUCUCACAAAGCAGAGAAAGGGCAUAAAAUACUGUCCUGGACACACUGGCAAGAAGCUUCCAGGAGUUUAAGACUAAGAGAAGAAAUGUGUAAGGCAUGAAAAUCCACAAUUUUGGCUGAAUAUCUGUUCUUACACCCCUGCGGUCUUGAAGCCUUUCAUGACAUGGAAUGAGGGUGUAAUUUCUCUGACUAUUCUGUAGCAUGUCUGUAAGUAGUAUUUUGUAAUUUUCUGUAAUGGUUUAAUUUUUCUCAGCUGAUACAUGUUCUAGCUAAAAAAGAGAGCUUGAAUAGAUGUGUCACCAUA